UGGGCUAAGAAAGAAAAANUGGUUUUUCUGGACAACAAAGCACCUUGAGCUAAGGAAGCAUUCAAAUCAGCACAAUUCAACAAUUCCACUUCUUAACAUCAAGAAUUUGCAACCAAUUUUCAAUUCUUUUUCCAACUUUUCAUCCAAUGAUUCUUUUUCUUGAUCUUGUUCCUUUUUCUUCUUUUUUCUUCAAAUUUUUCUUUUUCUUUUCUUUUCUUGUCAAUUUCUUUUUCUAGCAUCAACCACCCCAAACUUAAACAUUUUCCUCUACCAAAAUGAAUGCUUCACU
rnacentral:lncRNA from 1 species